rnacentral:rRNA from 1 species
UUACAAGUUGUGCAAUUGGAAUGACUACAAUUUAAAGAGUUUAAGGAGGAUCAAUUGGAGGGCAAGUCUGGUGCCAGCAGCCGCGGUAAUUCCAGCUCCAAUAGGAUAUAUCAAAUUUGUUGCGGUUAAAAAGCUCGUAGUUGGAUCUCGGUUUCACUCAGGUGGUACACCUUGCGGUGUUCACUAUCUGGGUGGACGUUUCUGUUGGUUCGCUCUUGGUGCUCUUCAUCGGGUGCCAUUUGGUGGCCAGCACGUUUACUUUAAAAAAAUUGGAGUGCUCAAAGCAGGCGUUACAGCCUGAACAUUAGUGCAUGGAAUAAUGGAAUAGGAUCUCGAUUCUAUUUCGUUGGCUUUCGGAGUCGAGGUAAUGAUUAAUAGGGACAGACGGGGGCAUUCGUACUGCGACGUUAGAGGUGAAAUUCUUGGAUCGUCGCAAGACGAACUACUGCGAAAGCAUUUGCCAAGAAUGUUUUCAUUAAUCAAGAACGAAAGUUAGAGGUUCGAAGGCGAUCAGAUACCGCCCUAGUUCUAACCAUAAACGAUGCCAACCGGCGAUCCGUCGUCGUUAAUUGAAUGACUCGACGGGCAGCCUCCGGGAAACCAGAGUGUUUGGGUUCCGGGGGAAGUAUGGUUGCAAAGCUGAAACUUAAAGGAAUUGACGGAAGGGCACCACCAGGAGUGGAGCCUGCGGCUUAAUUUGACUCAACACGGGAAAUCUCACCAGGCCCGGACACCGGAAGGAUUGACAGAUUGAGAGCUCUUUCUUGAUUCGGUGGGUGGUGGUGCAUGGCCGUUCUUAGUUGGUGGAGCGAUUUGUCUGGUUAAUUCCGAUAACGAACGAGACUCUGGCCUACUAACUAGAAGGUCUAUCCUUUAUGGGUAGGCCUCUGCUUCUUAGAGGGACGGGCGGCGUUUAGCCGCACGAGAAUGAGCAAUAACAGGUCUGUGAUGCCCUUAGAUGUUCUGGGCUGCACGCGCGCUACACUGAAGGAAUCAGCAUGUUCUCCCCUCCCUGAAAAGGGCGGGUAACCCGUUGAAACUCCUUCGUGAUGGGGAUUGGAGAUUGUAAUUAUUCUCCAUGAACGAGGAAUUCCCAGUAGGCGCGAGUCAUCAGCUUGCGUCGAUUACGUCCCUGCCCUUUGUACACACCGCCCGUCGCUACUACCGAUCGAGUGAUUUAGUGAGGACUUCGGACUGGUCUUCAAGUUGGCUUCGGUCGGCUCGAAGUUCCGGAAAGAUGCCCAAACUUGAUCACUUAGA